rnacentral:tRNA from 1 species
GGUCUGACUUUCAUUGGGAAGUUAUGUACAACAUUUCGAUUAUGGCAGUUAUAGAAAUAAUCAUUCU